rnacentral:rRNA from 1 species
UACAGAGGUCCCAAGCGUUGUUCGGAUUCACUGGGCGUAAAGAGUGCGUAGGCGGUUUUCUAAGUUUGGUGUGAAAUCUCCCGGCUUAACUGGGAGGGUGCGCCGAAAACCGGAAAGCUGGAGUGUGGGAGAGGUAAGCGGAAUUCCUGGUGUAGCGGUGAAAUGCGUAGAGAUCGGCAGGAACACCCAGGGGGAAACCAGCCGACUGGGCAUCUGCUGACGCUGAGGUGCGAGAGCGUGGGGAGCGAACCGG